rnacentral:rRNA from 1 species
GGUAGCCGUAGAGUGUGAUCCUGGCUCAGUAAUACUCGUACGGGGUACCCAUAGAUUUUCGACCCUCUGAAGUAAAGUGACAACCUGCCCUGAAAAUCGGAAUAACUCCGGGAAACCGGUGCUAAUACCGAAUAGUUUUUUGCCCCUCCUGGGGCGAAACGGAAAGACGGUUUCGGACGGUUUCGGCUGUCACUGCAGGAUGGGCCCGCGGCGCAUUAGCUAGUUGGUGGGGUAAUGGCCCACCAAGGCGACGAUGCGUAGCCGACCUGAGAGGGUGAUCGGCCACACUGGGACUGAGACACGGCCCAGACUCCUACGGGAGGCAGCAGUAGGGAAUCUUCCGCAAUGGACGCAAGUCUGACGGAGCAACGCCGCGUGAGUGACGAAGGUUUUCGGAUCGUAAAACUCUGUUGUGAGGGAAGAACAAGUACCAACUAACUACUGGUACCUUGACGGUACCUCACCAGAAAGCCACGGCUAACUACGUGCCAGCAGCCGCGGUAAUACGUAGGUGGCAAGCGUUGUCCGGAAUUAUUGGGCGUAAAGCGCGCGCAGGCGGUCCCUUAAGUCUGAUGUGAAAGCCCACGGCUCAACCGUGGAGGGUCAUUGGAAACUGGGGGACUUGAGUGCAGAAGAGGAAAGUGGAAUUCCACGUGUAGCGGUGAAAUGCGUAGAGAUGUGGAGGAACACCAGUGGCGAAGGCGACUUUCUGGUCUGUAACUGACGCUGAGGCGCGAAAGCGGGGGCACCAAAAAAGAAUUGAUCCCCUGGUGGCCCCCCCUAAAGGGGGUCCUAUGGUAAGGAUUUUCCCCCCUUUUUGUUUAAGUUAACCCUUUUAGCACUCUCCCUUGCGGAGUACGGCGCAAAGGCGGACCCCAAAGGAAUGGUCGGGGGCCCGCACAAGCGUGGGAGCAGGUGGUUUAAUUGGAAGCAACGGGAAGAACUUUCCCAGGUCUUGACAUCCCGCUGACGGCCUAAAAGAAAAGGUUUUCCUUUGGGGGACAGCGGUGACAGGUGGUGCAUGGUGGUGGUCAGUUCGUGUCGUGAGAUGUUGGGUUAAGUCCCGCAACGAGCGCAACCCUUGUUUUUAGUUGCCACCAUUCAGUUGGGCACUUUAAGGUGACUGCCGGUGACAAACCGGAGGAAGGUGGGGAUGACGUCAAAUCAUCAUGCCCCUUAUGACUUGGGCUACACACGUGUUACAAUGGACGGUACAAAGGGCAGCCAACCCGCGAGGGGGAGCCAAUCCCAAAAAACCGUUUUCAGUUCGGAUUCCAGGUUGCAAUUCGCCUGCAUGAAGCCGGAAUCGUUAGUAAUCGUGGAUCACCAUGCCACGGUGAAUACGUUCCCGGGCCUGGUACACUCCCCCUAAAUCGUAACAAGGUAUCCGUAGAGUUUGUUCCCGGCUCGCCGUAAGUCGUAACAAGGUAGCCGUAGAGUAC